rnacentral:rRNA from 1 species
AAACGUAGGAGGCGAGCGUUAUCCAGAUUUACUGGGCGUAAAGCGCGUGUAGGCGGCACGGCAAGUUGGAUGUGAAAGCUCCCGGCUUAACUGGGAGAGGUCGUUCAAAACUGCCGAGCUAGAGUGCGGGAGAGGGAGGUGGAAUUCCGGGUGUAGUGGUGAAAUGCGUAGAUAUCCGGAGGAACACCAGUGGCGAAAGCGGCCUCCUGGUCCGCAACUGACGCUCAGACGCGAAAGCUAGGGUAGCAAACGGGAUUAGAGACCCCGGUAGUCCUAGCUGUAAACGAUGUAGACUUGGCGUUGGUGGGUUCAAAUCCAUCAGUGCCGGAGCAAACGCGUUAAGUCUACCGCCUGGGGACUACGGCCGCAAGGUUAAA